UACGUAGGGACCAAGCGUUGUUCGGAUUUACUGGGCGUAAAGGGCGCGUAGGCGGCAAAUUAAGUCAUCUGUGAAAUCUCCGAGCUUAACUCGGAACGGUCAGGUGAUACUGAUCUGCUAGAGUGCGGAAGGGGCAAUCGGAAUUCUUGGUGUAGCGGUGAAAUGCGUAGAUAUCAAGAGGAACACCUGAGGUGAAGACGGGUUGCUGGGCCGACA
rnacentral:rRNA from 1 species